rnacentral:rRNA from 1 species
UACGUAGGGGGCAAGCGUUGUCCGGAUUUAUUGGGCGUAAAGAGCGUGUAGGCGGCCUGAAAGGUCAGCUGUGAAAACUCGAGGCUCAACCUCGAGACGUCGGUUGAAACCAUCUGGCUAGAGUCCGGAAGAGGAGAGUGGAAUUCCCGGUGUAGCGGUGAAAUGCGCAGAGUAUCGGGAAGAACACCCGUGGCGAAGGCGGCUCUCUGGGACGGUACUGACGCUGAGACGCGAAAGCGUGGGGAGCGAACAGG